AUGAACGUUGGCGGCGUGGAUUAGGCAUGCAAGUCGUGCGCGAACUGUAGCAAUACAGGGAGAGCGGCGUAAGGGAGAGUAAUACAUAGUUAGCUACCCUCGAGUCUGGGAUAGCGGCGGGAAACUGCCGGUAAUACCAGAUGAUAUCUUCGGAUCAAAGGUGUGAUUCCGCUCGAGGAGGUGACUGUGUCCUAUCAGCUUGUUGGCGGGGUAACGGCCCACCAAGGCUAAGACGGGUAUGGGGCGUGAGAGCGUGCCCCCACUCACUGGGACUGAGAUACUGCCCAGACACCUACGGGUGGCUGCAGUCGAGAAUCUUCGGCAAUGGGCGCAAGCCUGACCGAGCGACGCCGCGUGCGGGAUGAAGGCCUUCGGGUUGUAAACCGCUGUCGUAGGGGAGGAAGGUUCCGUGAAGAACGGAGCUUGACCGAUCCUAGGAGGAAGGGCCGGCUAAUCUCGU
rnacentral:rRNA from 1 species